AGUUUGCUUACCAAGUUCUAAGGCCUUACUGAUUUCCAUCAACUUGUUCUAUCCAUUAUUGAGAGACGAGUGUUAUAGUCAGCAACUAUAAUUGUAAAUAUGUCUAUUUCUCCUUUUAGUUCUAUCAGUUUUUGCUUUAAGGCAUCAAGCUCUGUUUUUGUUUGUGUAUUUUUAAACUCUGUUACUAGGUGCAUAACUGUUUAGGAUUGUGGCUGGGCGCGGUGGCUCACGCCUGUAAUCCCAGCACUUUGGGAGGCCAAGGUGGGCGGAUCACCUGAGGUCAGGUGUUUGAGACCAGCCUGGCCAGCAUAGUGAAACCCCCUCUCUACUAAAAAUACAAAAAAAAAAAAAAUUAGCCGGGCGUGGUAGAAGGCGCCUCUAAUCCCAGCUACUCAGGAGGCUGAGGCAGGAAAACUGCUGGAACCUGGGAGGCGGAGGUUGCAGUGAGCCAAGAUUACACCACUGUGCUCCAGCCUGGGCAACAGAGCAAGAUUCCAUCUAAAAACAAACAAACAAAAAAAACACACAAAGAAUUGUUAUACCCUCUUCAUCAAUUUACUCCUUUAGAAUUAUGAAAGACCUUUUCAUCAUUUUGAUCUGAAAUCUACUUUUUCUAAUAUGAAUACAGCUACUCCAGCUUUCUUUUGAUUAGUGUGAACAUGGUAUAUCUUUUCCCGUACUUUCUCAGAGCCGUCUGUUCUCAGGCCAAGCUCGCUUCCUACUCUGCCAUAAGGUGAGCCACCUCUACCUGCCUGGAGAUCAACCUGCGGUCAUCCAGUUCCACCAGUGCCUGGCUGGAGCUAUAAGUUGGUGCUGUUUGCCAGGGUUGGUGUCUACAGAGGGCCAGGGGAAUUCCAAGCGAGGGAAGCAAGGAGAACUUCUUGGACUCCUCAAGUUCUACCAGAAGGCAGUGCUAUGGUGUGCCCAACCCUCCCAGGGGCCUAAAUGGCCACCCUCUUGGGAAUGCCCAAAGCAUCUGCUAUUUAGGACUUGGUUACAGAGCGCCAUCAGCUUCCCCAAGUUUGUGGGGAAGACAACUUGUCACAAUGCCAAUCUCUGCAUUUCUCCAUCCUGCCCACCAGAGUAUCCUGAAAGACUUGGUCAAAUAUCUUGCUGA
rnacentral:lncRNA from 1 species